GCAAAAAGACAAAAAAAAAAAAAAGAAGAAGAAGAGAUGCCAUGUCUUACUUCUCUCUGCUUCUAACCCCACCUCCCAUAGUGUGCUUGGCAUGGGGAGGGCUCCUCGGAGGACAGUGAACUCAGAGGAUGCCUCAGACCCUCCGGGUAGUGUGGCUCUGGACAGUGCUCGUUCAUCUGCCUCCCCUGAGAGCCUCUUCCUACUUCAAUUGAACAGGUUGCUUUCUCCCUCCCUCCUGGCUGCUAUACCCUGAGGACCUGAGGAGUGUGGGCAGCCGGGAGAGAGAAAAGGAGACCCUGAUUCCCUCCAAAGCUGGGGGAGACCCUCCUGUCAGAGGGAGGAGCAUCUACACCAGCCUCCCUCCCUUCACAAGGCUGAAAGCAGCAAGGGGCCAAGACCUGCGGCAGACACGAGCAGCCCUGGGGCCAGAACUGGACCUGACGUCUGACUCGCAGAGUGACAGGUCAGAGUCCAUCAUGGCAGGGGACCCUGCAUCUGUGUCCUGACUGAUGGCCAAGUUCAGAGGCUACAGUGACUAUCUAAAUCCCUCCCACUUACUUGUGUGGCAUAAAAGCCUCUCACUUGAGUGAAUAGCAAGAACUACUGAGAUUGCUUUGGAAGAGAAGGUCAGAACUACAUUAAUUCAUGCAGAAUGAGACCGUGGGCCUUGUCGUGUUCACGUCAUCAUGACAUCAUGCGGCCACCGACCCCGAGGAGAUGCGUGGAGGGUCUUGGCGCUCAGCAGGCUCAGAAGGCCCCAGAGAGCGAUGGCCAGCUCGGCAUGCCCGUGUUCGGAGAAGUGCAGACAGUCCUCGGAGAAGAUGCUGAGGUCAGCGCCCCCUCUCUGACAUCUCGGUCCUAGUUAUACUCAAAAAAGGCGGUGCAGGGGAAAGCAACCCCCCGGGGACGCUCUCGUAGAGAUGGUCCAGAAAAGCCCAUGUGGUGAAGGAAAUACAGCGCCUGAGAUCCGGCUUCCCGGACCCGGCGGCAGCUUACGUUGUUCAGGGGGGCCAGCGUGUGCCGGAAGAACGGCUGCACGACCACCGCGAAGUCCUCCCGCUGCAGGGGCUGUGACCUGUGUUUACCGAGUGACCUUACUCUCCGGCAAGCCCUGCCGAACACUCAAUUUUGGAAUCCUUGCUCCAGGAGUAAAGAUGGGGGGGCAGGGUCACCUGGAAGUUCCAGUUCACGGUCUUCAGCUCCUGCAUCUUCAGGGAGUUCUCCUGGGAACCUCGGAAGCAGGCACAGUUGCUCCUGUGAGACAAAGAGGCCUGUAGCUCCUUGUCCCCAGGAGGCUGCGGGGCCCUGGGCCACCUCACGGGGGAGGGUGGCGAUACACAGUAGCAGCUUUGCUGCCUCUUGGGUCCGGGUCACAGAACCAUAACUCAGGCAUGAGGUCUAGAAGGUGCAAGGGCUGGGCUCUGAUGCCUGUGCCCCUGACUUCCUCCCAAGCCUGCAUCUCCUAGGGUUUCUCCAGGGGGGCUGGGGUUUGGGGAAGACUGGCCAGGUGGCCCAGCUUUCUUCUUCAUGUUCCUGAAGCCCUCCUUCUCUACGGGCUCAGAGUGAGGGGUCUCUUGGGCUGCUGGGGAGGUUCAGCCAGCUUGAGACACCCCAACAAGGUGGAAUGUAAGCCCCCCAGCCACUGGCCACUCCAGACGGGGGCUUGAUUCCAGGCAAGAAUAGAAACCAUUUGACCCCAGAUAGAACACAGUCCCCUAUAGACUCUCCUCCCCCCAAACUGUCAGAGGAACUCUGGGUGACCCUCUGGUCUCAGAAGGUAGCAACUUCUUGCAGAGUCACAGCUGGGCUUUACUAAGUUCCAGCCCCAACUUAUCUUAGAUGUUGUGCCUUACCUGCAGGCCUGUCCUAUCAAGCACAUUAUAAAAGCUAUUUCUUGAGUGGCUGCCCCACGGGCACCCCUAGACGUCACCUCUGCUUCCCAAGGAGAGUCUACAAGUAAGAGGCCCAGAGAGGCUGGGUGGUUUGUCCAAGGUCCCACAGCUCCUAAGUGGCAGAGCCAGGAUUCGAGGCCAGAGGGAGCUGUCUUGAGAGCUCAUUGCCUUGUACGACCCCUCCACCAGGGAACAGUGUGCUAGACUGGAGUUUGGCAUCACCAUGUCAUUUGGUCUGUCUACCUCACUUUCCAGAAAAGCAAACUGGGGUCCAGAGAAAUGAAGCAACCUGCGUCCAGUAUGCAUGCAACAGGGGGCACCCUUUCCAAAUGGUUUCCCGAGCCCCUGGCUAAUGGCUGAUGCUGGCACCCUGGACAGGACUGUCGGGCUCACCUGUUGGCAUUGGUCAGCUCUGGUGUCCCCUGGUGCCCUCACCCUGGAGCCAUGUACGUCUACUUACUGGGCUGCCAGUGGCAUGACACAUGUGUCACCUUGGCCCUGGUACAGGCCAGCCAGCUCCAUGACUUCCACCACGUUGACGAAGGCCCUCGGUAGCUGUGGGGAGCAGAGGGGUGGGCUUCAGUAGGCCCCGGGCAGUCGCAGGGGCACUGGUUACUGCUGGAAAGAACUUGGAUCCUCUGCAGUCUAACUCCCCCCUCCCCAAUUUUACCAAUAAACCGAGGCCUGGAGAGGGAAAGGGCCUGGUAAUUUAGUG